rnacentral:rRNA from 1 species
CGUUACACUCCUACGGGAGGCAGCAGUGGGGAAUAUUGCACAAUGGGCGCAAGCCUGAUGCAGCCAUGCCGCGUGUAUGAAGAAGGCCUUCGGGUUGUAAAGUACUUUCAGCAGUGAGGAAGGUGGUGUCGUUAAUAGCGGCAUCAUUUGACGUUAGCUGCAGAAGAAGCACCGGCUAACUCCGUGCCAGCAGCCGCGGUAAUACGGAGGGUGCGAGCGUUAAUCGGAAUUACUGGGCGUAAAGCGCAUGCAGGUGGUUUGUUAAGUCAGAUGUGAAAGCCCGGGGCUCAACCUCGGAAUUGCAUUUGAAACUGGCAGACUAGAGUACUGUAGAGGGGGUAGAAUUUCAGGUGUAGCGGUGAAAUGCGUAGAGAUCUGAAGGAAUACCGGUGGCGAAGGCGGCCCCCUGGACAGAUACUGACACUCAGAUGCGAAAGCGUGGGGAGCAAACAGGAUUAGAUACCCUGGUAG